rnacentral:rRNA from 1 species
UACGUAGGGGGCAAGCGUUGUCCGGAAUUAUUGGGCGUAAAGAGCUCGUAGGUGGCGUGUCGCGUCUGCCGUGAAAGCCCAUGGCUUAACUGUGGGUCUGCGGUGGAUACGGGCAGGCUGGAGGCUGGUAGGGGCAAGCGGAAUUCCUGGUGUAGCGGUGAAAUGCGCAGAUAUCAGGAGGAACACCGGUGGCGAAGGCGGUUCUCUGGGCCUUGCCUGACGCUGAGGAGCGAAAGCGUGGGGAGCGAACAGG